UACCAGCACCCCGAGUGGUCGGGACGUUUAUUGGGCCUAAAGCAUCCGUAGCCGGUUCUGCAAGUCUUCCGUUAAAUCCACCUGCUUAACAGAUGGGCCGCGGAAGAUACUAUAGAGCUAGGAGGCGGGAGAGGCAAGCGGUACCCGAUGGGUAGGGGUAAAAUCCGUUGAUCCAUUGAAGACCACCAGUGGCGAAGGCGGCUUGCCAGAACGCGCUCGACGGUGAGGGAUGAAAGCUGGGGGAGCAAACCGG
rnacentral:rRNA from 1 species